UAAAAUAUUUCUUCAAACCGGAAAUACAAUAGAAUGAAGAGAGAAAGAAAAUUUUCUUCGCGAUUCGAUGUUUACGGAUGACACAAUACAGAAUUCCACGAAAGGUACAACAAGCGUCAAACAUUUGCAAAAUAAAUGCGUGCGAUCGUGCCUUGAAACAACUAAUAGGCAGUCGUUGCUUAUUACACACGCACGCACUUGUCACAGUGGCACGUGACAUGUACUUACAAGAUUGAAAAUUAAAGUCAGUUUGAGUUGAGCACCAUUGUGAUAAGGAGUAUAUUAUGACCGUCACUGCUUAUAGCAUUACACAGCUUGACCCGCACUCGUAAACCGUGAACACACAUAAGGGGCCAAAUGCAUGGAUUUGAACGUAUACACUACUCUGUCGCCCGUGUGGGAAGUUUCACAUGCCUAAAAUUCAUCGAAAUAUUUUCGUGCCCUGACUCCUCAAGAAGAAGUAAUUUGAUCCUAUGACCGUACAUCUGUUGCACGGUACGCUGCCCCAAGAUAAAUGAUUAUGCAGACAAAUAUAGAAGACGAUGUAAAAAUCGGAUAACUUUGUUCUUAAUGAAACUUGAAAAAAGGAUACAUUCCAUCAUCUCCUGUAUUCCAAAUGUCGAGAGCUCUCCAUGGGUAGAGUAGCAAGCAACGAAUUCCUUCCGGAGAUCGUGAAAGAGGGUAUAAUGUUCUGGCAGGUUGAUGUCUUUGUUGCAGGCUUCUGGAUGUAAGCAUUGUCUCAUCGGCGCCUGACCGUCUACGACGAAACGUGGUGCGGAACCGGACGUCACGCACGACAUGGCGGACCACCAUGCUUCAAACUUUUAUUAAAAAUGAAUAUUUUCUUUUUAAUAUUUCAUACGAAUUUGAAUUGUACGUGUAUAUACUUCCAUAUUCUCUUUAUCGUUUAUCAGGAUAUAGAUACAAAUGGAUCAGCGCAUAUUGCGUUCAUCUUGCUCCAGAGGAAUUCCGUGCUCUCGAAGAUUUCUUUCGGAUAACGCCGGAGCGUGUGCUAAGGCUACUUCGCUGAUGACUCCACUACUUCCGGCAAUCGCCGGAUUGUCGCUACCGGUUCCAGGCGUACAACUUUCGUCCAUUACCAUCGGUCGUACAAUAUACUGUUGUCUUCCCAUCACCUGUAAAAAAUUCACAAAUAAUGUAUUCACAAAUAAUUAAACGCAUAGUAUUUCCACUGAAACAUUUCUCGUGACAAAUUUUAGCGAAAUAAAAAGGAUAUAAAUAAUAAUUCGCUAAAAUAUUUCAUGCAAAAUUCGGUGAUAUGUAAUGUUUCGAUAACAUGUCUAAAUCAAAAAUGUUUAUAGUGUAUAUGUUGUGUCGUUCAAUCGAAAAUAGAUAAAAUGUAUUAUAUCGAUAA